GUUUCUAUCUAUGAAAUGCCCUUUUCUAGUACGAAAGGACCGAAAAGGGGAGGCCAAUGCCAAAGGUACGUCUCAUCCUUACCUAAUGAAAACAACUACCUUAGACAAAAGGACAUGCCAACCUGUCUUAGACAAUGACA
rnacentral:rRNA from 1 species